UUAGAGACUAUCGAAGGAGAGGAAUUCACAAGAGCUUUAAAUGGAAGGUAUCUGAAGAGAUAUUAUCCUAGCAUAUGGGUGGACGCGUAGCAAACGAUAUGGCAUGUCGAGACGUUGUGGCCGACUCCUAUUGACUCGUGUUCAUAUAGCCGAUGCAAGGAGACAUCGCCUUGAGGACGGAACCUUUGACCAGUCUGGCCGAUUUAUUAUUCGGUACAGCAAUAGGAUACAUGGCCGAUACGGUACAAGUCGCCCUUAGACCAAAAGUACCAAUACAUUCAUUAACC
rnacentral:lncRNA from 1 species